rnacentral:rRNA from 1 species
UACGGAGGGUGCAAGCGUUAUCCGGAUUCACUGGGUUAAAGGGUGCGUAGGCGGGUUGGUAAGUCCGUGGUGAAAUCCCCAAGCUUAACUUGGGAACUGCCGUGGAUACUAUCAAUCUUGAAUAUCGUGGGAGGUAAGCGGAAUAUGUCAUGUAGCGGUGAAAUGCUUAGAUAUGACAUAGAACACCAAUUGCGUAGGCAGCUUACUACACGAUCAUUGACGCUGAGGCACGAAAGCGUGGGG